AACGGGUGAGUAACACGUGAGCAACCUGCCCUAUACAACGGGAUAACACAGAGAAAUUUGUGCUAAUACGGUAUAAGACCACAGUAUCGCAUGAUACAGGGGUAAAAGAUUUAUCGGUAUAGGAUGGGCUCGCGACCCAUUAGCUAGUUGGUGAGGUAACGGCCCACCAAGGCAACGAUGGGUAGCCGACCUGAGAGGGUGAUCGGCCACACUGGGACUGAGACACGGCCCAGACUCCUACGGAAGGCAGCAG
rnacentral:rRNA from 1 species